rnacentral:misc_RNA from 1 species
UUGUCUUAUAGUAAUUUUUCUCUCCCUUUCUAUCUUAUGCAGAGAGAGAGAGGACGCAUGCUCAUCUUGGGCAAAGCUGAUUACAGUUCAUUAGCUGUAUUAUUAUUAUUAUUUCAAUGAAUCCUAUGUUUGAAAAGGAAGUGUUUUUAACAAUAUAACUAUUAUAUUUAACAAUUCAAUUAAAAUCAUGAUCCACCAAAUUAUGAGAAUGGUAAAAAUUCUUGCAGAUCAUUUAAAAAUAAAUUGUCACACCCAUCCACCUUAACUAGGACAUGCAUAAUCUAAAUACAAACAGAUAGAGUUUCUCUUAAUAAUCGAUUGACUAGACCUAAACUUAUUAUAAAACUUAAAUUUCUAGAACAAUUUUCCCAAGAAACCAACAAUUAAAAUCAAAUAUUGAGCAUAUAAAAGUCAUCGAAACAAAUAAAAAGAACAUAGUACGUGAUCAGUAUAAUUUCAUUGACGCACAAUAGAGGGCAAAAAUUCAAAGGCCAAAAAUACCACCAAUUAGAAGACAUGAAAGGGAAAUUAGAAGAGAAGCCAAAAAUUAAAAAAUUAAAAAAAAACAUUUAGAAAAAAGAAAACAAGAUUUACUGAUUUUAGACUGCACUCGGAGGCUGCCCACGUACCUCCAUUGAUAAAAUAGAGGAUCAGGUCUUCGUAGCUCUUAAAUAUAGACUGACUAAUUGAUUCCCACUAAUGGUUGGCCACAUGAUACCAUUUAAAU